CGGACGGGUGAGUAACACGUGGAUAACCUACCUAUAAGACUGGGAUAACUUCGGUAAACCGGAGCUAAUACCUGAUAAUAUAUUGAACCGCAUGGUUCAAUAGUGAAAGACGGUUUUGCUGUCACUUAUAGAUGGAUCCGCGCCGCAUUAGCUAGUUGGUAAGGUAACGGCUUACCAAGGCAACGAUGCGUAGCCGACCUGAGAGGGUGAUUGGCCACACUGGAACUGAGACACGGUCCAG
rnacentral:rRNA from 1 species